rnacentral:lncRNA from 1 species
AUUCCUUCUGCCACUGUUCUCCUACGUGAUGGUCAAACAUGGAAGUCUAUAUUGAAAACACUGGCUGGCUUUUACAACUUCAGUCUGGAUUAAAUGAUUUCAAGUAUACAAGUUAAGUAAAAUACUUUGAAAAUCUCUUUUACCAAGUCUUAUAUUCUAAUUCCACAGGAUAUGAUUUCUGUAUGUCUAUAGGAGGCUUAUUUAUAGGCAUAACGGUCAACACCUAUAAAAAUGAACCAAUUGUCAAUAAUCAUCACAUCUCCUAAACACAAAGAAUAAAUGAAAGGUUUAUAAAUUCUAAUCCUAAUCUCAAAGCAUAAUAGAUAUUUCCUAGGCACAUUUUAACUUAAAAAAUUUGAAAAUUAAAACGUAUUAGAAUUUGAAAAUCAAACAUUUAUCAAUUCAAGUUGAUUUUUAAUGAUCUAAAAGCAGAUUAUCUGUUUUUUCUUUCAUAUUUCUAGCAACGUUCAAGCUACCUGGGCUAUGUGUGUGACGCAAAAGUGUGUGCAUGGGUACUAUGAUAUGUGCAUGUUUGGUUUAUGUUGAAGGAGGCUGUUUUUGAGUCUAAAUGUUCACCUCUGAUCUCAUUCAACACUGAAGAUUAAAAGAGAUUUGAGGUUUUUCUGUGUCUCUAAUACUCUUAAAUAGACCUGGUUCCAAAAGUCUUUAUCCAUUUGUUUUCACAGAAAAUUUCAAAAAUCAAAUUAGCACCAUAAUCUUAUGUGUAAUUAAUAGUUGUAUUGGCAUACAACCCUUGAAAUGAAGCAAUGUCCAACAAGUAAAAUUUC